AAAAAAACAUUGAAGAGGAAGAGUACACAUGGUUCUUUAAUACAGAGAGCUGCCGGCAGGUGAAAGGCAGUGAGAAGAAAUGUGGAACUGGCCUUGGAGUUCCUUUGCAGAACGGAAGAAUUUCUUAGUAAGAAAAGGCGGGAGUUCCCGUUACAGAAUCAAUGAGUGCAUCUGUAGAUAUAGAGAUACAGAUGAAUUAGAGUGGUACCACGGAAUGAAUCUAAGACCCUUUCGUCUCUAAA
rnacentral:ncRNA from 1 species